CCUCGGGAGGCAGCAGUGGGGAAUAUUGCACAAUGGGCGCAAGCCUGAUGCAGCCAUGCCGCGUGUGUGAAGAAGGCCUUCGGGUUGUAAAGCACUUUCAGCGGGGAGGAAGGCGGUGAGGUUAAUAACCUCAUCGAUUGACGUUACCCGCAGAAGAAGCACCGGCUAACUCCGUGCCAGCAGCCGCGGUAAUACGGAGGGUGCAAGCGCUAAUCGGAAUUACUGGGCGUAAAGCGCACGCAGGCGGUCUGUCAAGUCGGAUGUGAAAUCCCCGGGCUCAACCUGGGAACUGCAUUCGAAACUGGCAGGCUAGAGUCUUGUAGAGGGGGGUAGAAUUCCAGGUGUAGCGGUGAAAUGCGUAGAGAUCUGGAGGAAUACCGGUGGCGAAGGCGGCCCCCUGGACAAAGACUGACGCUCAGGUGCGAAAGCGUGGGGAGCAAACAGGAUUAGAUACCCUGGUAGUC
rnacentral:rRNA from 1 species